UCCCAUUAGUCAUAACCUAUGUUAAAGCACCGACCAAACCAAGAGAGAAAAAGUGAACAAGACAAGAAAACCAAGUUAGAUUACUAGUCUAGUCAAGUACUAAAUAUAAUCACAUUAAAAUCAUGAGACAAAUCCCUUUGAAUACAUUUUUCUUUGAAGGAUAAUCCCUUUGAAUACAUAAUUAAUUAAUUAAUAUUACUACCUCUAUCUCUAAAAUAAACCUCACUUAAAAAAAUUCUUAAAAAGUUUUUUCUUAUCAAAUUAUUAUUAAUACCCCUAAUUAAUUUAUCCCUUUUUUACAUGAAUUGAAGCACAUUUUUAUAAUAUAUACCCAAAAAUAGACAAAUUUAAUACACUACCCAAAAAUAGACAA
rnacentral:lncRNA from 1 species